UCACCCCCAACCCCCAUCCUCAGCACCCCCUCGCAACAAACAAUCCAAAUUCCCCCCUGUAAAUCCUCACCCUCCAAAAACACCAACUCCACCCCUGACAUUGUCUCCUUACAAACCCUUUCUCUCCAACCACAAACCCCUUCUUCAAGACACUGCUCCCCCACCCACAUCCCCUCGUUCCAAACACUUGCCCUCCCCUCGAAACACCCCCUCCCUCCGAUUACUCCCCCUCCACCUCCAAUACCCCCUCCGUCCAAAUACUGCCCCUCCACCUACCAGACGACUUCCUUCCAAGCACCAUCUUCUCCCACAACACCCCCUGCCCCUCCACUCACUCCCUCAACACUCCCCCUCUCUCAAACCACUCUCCCCCCACCCACGCUCUCUCCCUAAACCCCGUCUCUCCAAACAUAACAGCUUCCCCCUUUCGCUCCCUCCGAGCAUUACUCCUCCCUCCAAACUCAUCACCGCCACCCGAUCACCGUCUUCAUCCAAACACUCUCCUCGCAGCCCCAAAUCCCCUCUGUCCGAACACUCCCCAACCGCUCCCAACCCGUUUCACUUCAAACAGCUCACCUCAGUGCCCAGCGCCCUCCCUCCAACCUCUCCACCUCCACCCCCAAAGCCCUUCCCUCCAGAUGUUCCACCUCCACCCCCAACGCCACCUCCCUCAAAACAUUUCCCCUACGGCCCCAACUUGUCCCCUCUCCCUGCAAUCCCGCUGCAAUGCCCUCUCGUCCCUUGUCCCCUCUCCCUCCAACAUGGCCUACCUCUGGGUACACGUUCUCCAUCCCCGACGCCUAUUCCCACCUAUCACUCUGCCUCAUACCCCAACUCGCCCUCUCCAACCCAUCACCAGCUCUCUCCAAAUCGCCUCCCGUCGCCCCAGUUCUCGCUCCCUCCGAAUGUUCAGGCUUCCUUCCGAUCCCAUUCGCCCAAUGUCUUCAUCUAUCCAAACAGCGCUCUUCAUCCAAACAACCCAUAUCCGCAAAUGCUGCCCACCACUUCGACCUGCCUUCCCUCCAAACUGCCAUGCUCCAAAACUCCCCCACCAUCAGAACAACAUUCCCCCUCCACGAUAGCGCUCCGUCUCUAUCCUCAGCAUGCCAUUCCUUCAAACAAUUCUCUUCUACCUCCCUCUAAACACUCCCCCUCCCUCCAACCCAACCCUACAAACAUACCCCUUGCAUCCCCAACUACUUUCUCCAAUUACUCCCCUCCCAGUCCCUGUAGCCCAUCUCUUCAAAUGCCCCCUCUCGACCCCCAGCAUCCCCUCCCUCCGAAAACGCCCCCUCCACCCCCAACUCACCCUCCCUUCAAACAAUUCCACUCCGCACCCAACACACCCUCCCUCCCAAUGCUCCCCCUCCACUCCCAAUACCCUCUCCCUCCAAACACCCCCUUACACUCCCAGCUACCCCUUCCACCAAACACACCCCCUCCACCCCCAACACCCCCUCCCUCUAAACAGACUCUCCACCUUCAAACCAUUCCAUUUCAUCCAGAUCAGACCCUCCCUCCAUACACUCCACCUCCCCCUCCAACACUCCUUCCGCCCAAACCCACCCACCAAACAUUCAUGCUUUGUUCCAAUCCCCUCCCUUCACACACCCUCCCGACAUCUCCACCCAUCCAAACUACCUUUUCCAACCAACUGAUGUCCUCUGUGCAAACAUCCUGUGUCUGCAAACUGUACUCCCCGUCCAACCCCGCUCUCCUUCCCAAAUUCCUCCCUCCGACACAGCAAACCCUCCCGCUCCACUGCCAAUACCCCAUCCCACCAUACACACCCCCUCUGCCCCCAACACCACCCCCCUCGAAACUCACCCCUUCCAUCCCCAGCUAUCUCUGCCUGAAACCGCUCCCACUGCACCCCGUCUCCCCAAACCCUCCCCGUCCCCCCCAACCCCCUCUCUCUCCAAACUCUUACCAUCUAUCCCCAACAGCCUCUCCCCCCACACUCUCCCCCUCCACCCCAUCCCUCCGAAUACUCCCCCUCCGCACCCAACUCGCCCUCCCCCCACAACACCUCCUCCGCCCCCAACGUCCCCUCCAUCCAAACUCUCCCCUGCUGCCCCCGGCCUCCAAACUCUUCCUCCCCUCGCAUCCCCUCUCUACAAACACGUCUACCCCAGCACCUCCUCCCUCCAGGCACUCCACUCCCAACACUCGUUCCCUCCAAACACUCCCCCUCCACCUCCAAUACCACCACCCUACAAAUCCUCCCGCUCCACCCCUAAUAGCCCUUCCAAACUCUUCCCCUUGAAUGCCGGUAGCUCCUGCAAACUCUCCCCAUCUGCCCCCAAUAGCCCCUCCAAGUUCACCUUCUCCACCCUCCAUUAAACCUCCCAACAAACAAACCCCCUGAACCCCAACACUGUCUCCCUCCAAACCCCUUAACAUCCUCUCCCUACGAACGCUGUCCUACCCAUCUCUAACAUGCUCAUCCCAUAAAAGAUAUUCCUCUCCAUUGCAAACACCCUCUGCAGCUGCACCGCCAUCUCCAUCCAUGCACUCCAUGUCCACCACUAACAUCCCCUGCCUCCAAUCACCAUCCCAAUGCCCACACCCUCUAAAUAUACCUCCACUCCAGCAUGCUCUCCCUCCAAACAUCCAACCACCAACCUUCCUCCACCCCCGCUUCUCCCAUCACUCCCUCUCCACCCCCACCCUCUCUGCAUCCCAAUACAGUCUAACAUCCUUUCCCCCAACAUCCUCUUCCUCCAAACAUUCCCCCUCCACUUGGUAACCUUCAAACACCCGCUCUUCAUCCAUUGCACCCCUUCACUCCCUCAUGGCUGCACCGCCCCAAACAUUCACUUCAACCAACUACCUUCCAUGACACUCUAUAUUUUCCCAUUUCAUCCUUCCUCUCCAAACCUUUCCCUUCACUCUUUCCCCAACACUUUCCACCUUCUUCCGCAAACAUUCCUCUUUCCCUCCAAACAUCCCUCCCUCUCUGGAAACACUCCUCCACCUUCUAAAAUACCCCCCUUCCUAAAAAUACUCUUCCUUCCCCCUCCUCCCCAUACUUUCUUCUACAUAUCUCCCCAUGCCCACUUGACCCUAUUCCCUGCUGUUACCUUCCUUUGCCUCUCUGCUCUACCUGACUUCUCUCUCCCACAAGCUGUUGUGAAACUCUACGUAGGUUCAGCUGAAUCAAACCUAUCUUAAACACAGGGCUACCCACUGCAGCUGAAGCCACUGAGUUUCUCUAGGGUAUCGGGAGCAUAUUUUAAUCCUCUGUUCCUCGUGCUCAGCUAUGCUUUGCUGUUGUAUCUUAUUGGAUCAAACAGUGUUGUGGAUCAGAUUUACGCAGGCUUGUGUAUUCGUGUGACUUGGCAGAUCCAUAUCUGAAUUGGGAGAGCCCUUUGGAAGCAAACCUCAAAG